rnacentral:rRNA from 1 species
UAGUGGCGAACGGGUGAGUAACACGUGGGCAAUCUGCCCUUCACUCUGGGACAAGCCCUGGAAACGGGGUCUAAUACCGGAUAACACUUCCUGCCGCAUGGUGGGGGGUUAAAAGCUCCGGCGGUGAAGGAUGAGCCCGCGGCCUAUCAGCUUGUUGGUGGGGUGAUGGCCUACCAAGGCGACGACGGGUAGCCGGCCUGAGAGGGCGACCGGCCACACUGGGACUGAGACACGGCCCAGACUCCUACGGGAGGCAGCAGUGGGGAAUAUUGCACAAUGGGCGAAAGCCUGAUGCAGCGACGCCGCGUGAGGGAUGACGGCCUUCGGGUUGUAAACCUCUUUCAGCAGGGAAGAAGCGAAAGUGACGGUACCUGCAGAAGAAGCGCCGGCUAACUACGUGCCAGCAGCCGCGNUAAUACGUAGGGCGCAAGCGUUGUCCGGAAUUAUUGGGCGUAAAGAGCUCGUAGGCGGCUUGUCACGUCGGAUGGGAA